rnacentral:rRNA from 1 species
CGGCACGGGUGAGUAACGCGUAUCCAACCUGCCUUACACUCUUGGACAGCCUUCUGAAAGGGAGAUUAAUACAAGAUGGCAUCAUGAGUCCACAUGUUCACAUGAUUAAAGGUAUUCCGGUAGACGAUGGGGAUGCGUUCCAUUAGAUAGUAGGCGGGGUAACGGCCCACCUAGUCUUCGAUGGAUAGGGGUUCUGAGAGGAAGGUCCCCCACAUUGGAACUGAGACACGGUCCAA